GUAGGGUGCGAGCGUUGUCCGGAAUUAUUGGGCGUAAAGGGCUCGUAGGCGGUCUGUUGCGUCGGGAGUGAAAACUCAGGGCUUAACCCUGAGCCUGCUUCCGAUACGGGCAGACUAGAGGUAUGCAGGGGAGAACGGAAUUCCUGGUGUAGCGGUGAAAUGCGCAGAUAUCAGGAGGAACACCGGUGGCGAAGGCGGUUCUCUGGGCAUUACCUGACGCUGAGGAGCGAAAGUGUGGGGAGCGAACAGGAUUAGAUACCCUGGUAGUCCACACCGUAAACGUUGGGCGCUAGGUGUGGGACUCAUUCCACGAGUUCCGUGCCGCAGCUAACGCAUUAAGCGCCCCGCCUGGGGAGUACGGCCGCAAGGCUAAA
rnacentral:rRNA from 1 species